UCUUGAAAGGACCAUUCUC
rnacentral:snRNA from 1 species